GGGUCGUUAGCUCAGUUGGUAGAGCAGUUGGCUUUUAACCAAUUGGUCGUAGGUUCGAAUCCCACACGACCACCA
rnacentral:tRNA from 1 species